ensembl:lncRNA
UCUCUGCUUCAUCUAGCCUUCUCUCAAGUGCGCCAUUUGCACUUUCCUCCUCUCCUUCUCUCCUCCUCUCCUUCUCUCCUCUUCUCCUCCUCUUCUCUUCUUCUCCAGUGCACUCUCCUCUUCUCCUCCUCUUCUCUUCUUCUCCAGUGCACUCUCCUCUUCUCCUCCUCUCCUCUCCUCUUGUCUCUUGUCUGUCGUUCUUCUCCUCAUUCCUUCUUCACUCAUUCCAACUGUUGACAGAAUGUUCCAGAUAAAAAUGUUAUCUUUUUAAUGUACAUAUGUUUUGUAUAUGCUUUUGCAAGUGCAUCAAAUCUGUUUUUUUUUCACAUUCAAAACUGUCAUACGUGCCUGUUCUGCAAUAAAGCCUUAUUUUC